rnacentral:rRNA from 1 species
ACGUUUUCAUCCUUUGGGUGAAAAUCAAUUGACUGUUAUACUUCCAAGAAAAGCUCGUACUACUGUAAAAUAAGAAUUACCUGUACCGUAAACCGACACAGGUGGGUUGGUAGAGUAUACCAAGGGGCGCGAGAUAACUCUCUCUAAGGAACUCGGCAAAAUGACCCCGUAACUUCGGGAGAAGGGGUGCCAAGUAACUCAACAUUGCUUGGUCGCCGUGACCAGGCCCAGGCGACUGUUUAUCAAAAACACAGGUCUCCGCAAAGUCGUAAGACAACAUAUGGGGGCUGACGCCUGCCCAGUGCCGGAAGGUUAAGGAAGUUGGUUAUUCAUUCGUGGAGAAGCUGACGACCGAAGCCCCGGUGAACGGCGGCCGUAACAAUAACGGUCCUAAGGUAGCGAAAUUCCUUGUCGGGUAAGUUCCGACCCGCACGAAAGGCGUAACGAUCUGGGCGCUGUCUUGGAGAGAGACUCGGUGAAAUAGACAUGUCUGUGAAGAUGCGGACUACCUGCACCUGGACAGAAAGACCCUAUGAAGCUUGACUGUAGCUUGGAAUUGGGUUCGGGCUCUUCUUGCGCAGCCUAGGUGGGAGGCGUUGAAAGUUUUCUUUCGGGAAAACUGGAGCCAACAGUGAGAGACCACUCUGGAGGAGCUAGAAUUCUAAUGGCGUUCCUUGAAGCAGGACGCUUGACAGUUUCAGGUGGGCAGUUUGACUGGGGCGGUCACCUCCUAAAAGGUAACGGAGGUGUGCAAAGGUUCCCUCAGGCUGGACGGAAAUCAGCCGGAGAGUGUAAAGGCAGAAGGGAGCUUGACUGCAAGACCUACAAGUCGAGCAGGGGCGAAAGCCGGCCUUAGUGAUCCGACGGUUCCAUGUGGAAGGGCCGUCGCUCAACGGAUAAAAGUUACUCUAGGAUAACAGGCUGAUCUUCCCCAAGAGUUCACAUCGACGGGAAGGUUUGGCACCUCGAUGUCGGCUCAUCGCAACCUGGGGCGGUAGUACGUCCCAAGGGUUGGGCUGUUCGCCCAUGAAAGCGGUACGUGAGCUGGGUUCAGAACGUCGUGAGACAGUUCGGUCCAUAUCCGGUGUAGGCGUUAGAGCAUUGAGAGGAGCCUUCCAUAGUACGAGAGGACCUGGAAGGACGCACCUCUGGUAUACCAGUUAUCAUGCCAAUGGUAAACGCUGGGUAGCCAAGUGCGGAGUGGAUAACCGCUGAAAGCAUCUAAGUGGGAAGCCCACCUCAAGAUGAGUGCUCUCUAACAGGUCACGGCAAGACAAGCCGGUUGGUAGGUGUCAGGUGGAAGGCCAGUAAUGGUUGCAGCUGAGACAUACUAAUAGACCGAUCGAUUUU